AGGUAGUUUGAUUCUGGCUACUUUAUUAAUUUAUAAGGAAUAUAUACAUGUAAGUUUUUGCUUUAAUGUGAUUUUAUUUUAAUAAUUUUUGUUUUGCAGUAUUUAAUAUUAAAUAUAUAAUUAUUUAUGAUUUGGAUAUUCUUUUUAUUAUUGUAAAUGUUUGUGCCAGCAUACGCGGUUAUACAAUAAAUAUUAAUUAAUAAUUUUGGUUUAAUUUAGUUAAAUUUUAUUUGGAUUUAAUUUUUUAAUUUUUGGGUGAAAUUAUAAAUUAUAAUUAAUUUUUUUUUGAUUCUUUGAAAUAUGAAUAUUAAACUAGGAUUAGAUACCCUAUUAUUUUAUAUGUUAAUUUUAACCUGGGUAAUAAUAGUUAUGUUCUUUAAACCUAAAGAAUUUGGCGGUGUUUUAGUCUAUUUAGAGGAAUUUGCUUCGUGAUCGAUAAUCCCCGUUUUAUCUUACUUAAUUUUGUUUUCAGUAUGUAUACCGCUGUUAUAAGUUUAUUUUAUUAGAAUUUAAUUUACUUUAUUUAUUAAUUUAAUUUAUUUCAAGUCAAGGUGCAGUUUAUGAUUAAGUUUUAGUGAAUUACAAUAUUUUUAAUAAAUGGAUUUGAAUUUUAAAAUUUUAAUGAAGGUGGAUUUAAUAGUAAUUUUAUUUAUAAUGUUAUUUUGAUUUUAGCUCUAAAAUAAGUACAUAUCGCCCGUCACUCUCAAUUUAUUUGAGAUAAGUCGUAACAUAGUAGAUGUACUGGAAAGUGUAUCUAGUAAGAAUUUA
rnacentral:ncRNA from 1 species